UUGCCCGAUUUGGCAGCACAUAUACUAAAAUUGAAACAAUACAGAGAAGAUUAGUAUGGCUCUGUGCAAGAAUGAUAUGCAAAUUCGUGAAGUGUUCCAUAUAUUU